rnacentral:rRNA from 1 species
GAUGAACGCUGGCGGCGUGCCUAAUACAUGCAAGUCGAGCGAACGGACGAGAAGCUUGCUUCUCUGAUGUUAGCGGCGGACGGGUGAGUAACACGUGGAUAACCUACCUAUAAGACUGGGAUAACUUCGGGAAACCGGAGCUAAUACCGGAUAAUAUUUUGAACCGCAUGGUUCAAAAGUGAAAGACGGUCUUGCUGUCACUUAUAGAUGGAUCCGCGCUGCAUUAGCUAGUUGGUAAGGUAACGGCUUACCAAGGCAACGAUGCAUAGCCGACCUGAGAGGGUGAUAGGCCACACUGGAACUGAGACACGGUCCAGACUCCUAAGGGAGGCAGCAGUAGGGAAUCUUCCGCAAUGGGCGAAAGCCUGACGGAGCAACGCCGCGUGAGUGAUGAAGGUCUUCGGAUCGUAAAACUCUGUUAUUAGGGAAGAACAUAUGUGUAAGUAACUGUGCACAUCUUGACGGUACCUAAUCAGAAAGCCACGGCUAACUACGUG